rnacentral:piRNA from 1 species
UGCGGAUCGCUCUGCCUCCCUUUCCUGGUC